CGCGCAAAUUACCCAAUUCUAACAGUUUGAGAGAGGUAGUAACAAGAAAUAACAAUACAAGGCAAUUAAAAUGUUUUGUAAUUGGAAUGAUAGAAAUUUAAACCCUUUUUAAAGUAUCAAUUGGAGGGCAAGUCUGGUGCCAGCAGCCGCGGUAAUUCCAGCUCCAAUAGCGUAUAUUAAAAUUGUUGCAGUUAAAAAGCUCGUAGUUGAAGUUCUGCUAAAAGUAACCGGUCUG
rnacentral:rRNA from 1 species